rnacentral:lncRNA from 1 species
ACUCUCAAUGUGCGUUUGUUUAUCACCUUAGUGGCGAAAAAAUUAAACUUACGAGAAACUGUUGUGUGUUGUGAGCUGAAUAUUCAACAACUGAGUCGUUGAUGCAGCAAAUAUUCGUUUGUUGAAUAAUUUUGGAAAAACUUCUUUGAUUUGAAAAUGAACACUCAUUAGUUUAAGUUAUGAGUGUUCAAAAUCGUAAAAAAGGAGUCGUAUUAUUAAUAUUCCGUCGGUGGAUGCAAUAAUAAUACUUAUGGAAAAGGGCUUGAAAGCGUAAAAAUGUUUGGUUUCCCACUUUGUAACAUGGGAAAAAGAGAACUCUGGAUCAAGACUAUUAAAAGGGUGAAUGAGGAUAGGACUAUGCGGAAGCGUCAUACUUGGAUUAAGAUAUGUUCCAAACAUUUUAUUACCGCUAAAUAUAAUUCCACUUGCGGUCAUCCUGACUAUUUUCCUACAUUAUUUCCAAAGUUCCCUGUCCAUCCCAGAGCCGUGACUGCCGUUUUUGAAACGAAGAGAAAUGAAGAAGAGACUAGAAGUACUAACAAGCAAAGUUGACUUUAAGUAAAUCCUCAAGAACUAUGCAAGCGGAUGGGAAAUUUCAUUCUAUUUCUCAUUUGCCCAUUUUUCUCUCGCAUUUGAUCGUGGAAUUUAUUGUGUCCGUUUAAAGCCCCACCCAGCACUUCCAAAAUGGCAACCACUAUAUCCAAGGUUCACUAUAAAAAUAAGGGAACUUCGACUUAAAAAUCGUUUUCAAUAAAUAAUUUAGUGAUAAACGAAGACUUAUAAGCAUGUUGGGGAAUAGAAAAGUGGUUUUUCAAUUUUUACUGUUUCAAUUUGAGUCAAAAAUUAAAAAAAAUGCAAGGUUUGCCAUAAGUUGAUUACUUCCUUAUGUUUCUUGUCAAAAUGAAACGACAUAUUUAUGUCGUUUACAUUCUUUAAAACUAUGUUUAACAUUAAUAGGAUAACCGUUCAAUAUUUUUUCUAAAAUGUUUUAUGAAUUUUUUUUAUUCGGGAAAAAAUGGAUUUUUUUUUUUGGCUGACUCCGGAAAAAAUUUGGACUGCUAUGUCACAGCAAUUGAAAGAAAAUUAUCCAAAUACUACCGUAUUUACUGAUGCUAGUGAAAUCAAAUAGAAACUCCGACAAAUUUAAACACAUCUGUUCUCACAUAUUCAAACUACAAAAGCUCUCAUACACUAAAAUCUUUAAUUGGAAUUGCUCCAAGUGGAUUCAUAAUGUUUUUGAGAGAUGAAGUCAUUGCAGAUAUGGGUUUCCCUGAAUUCUGCCUGACCUUACAAAAAAGGUACAUUGCUGCUGUUGAUGCUACCACUUACAUCGGGUAAUAAGCAAUUUUUCAACCAGGAAAACAAUAUCUUCUAUCAUGUGGCAAGUAUCCGCAUGCACGUAGAGAGCUAUACCCCUUAUGAAAUUUUUUAAAGUGUUCAAGUCUGUCGAUCACACUUUGGUAUCUAAAAUGUAUAAAAUUAUUUUGUGCAUAGGUUAUUUUUGUAAUCAUUUAAAUCACUUAAUCAAGAAAUAAAACAACUCAAUAAAUUA